rnacentral:rRNA from 1 species
UACGGAGGAUCCAAGCGUUAUCCGGAUUUAUUGGGUUUAAAGGGUGCGUAGGUGGCUUUUUAAGUCAGGGGUGAAAGACGGUAGCUUAACUAUCGCAGUGCCUUUGAUACUGAAGAGCUUGAAUAAACUAGAGGUAGGCGGAAUGUGACAAGUAGCGGUGAAAUGCAUAGAUAUGUCACAGAACACCAAUUGCGAAGGCAGCUUACUAUGGUUUUAUUGACACUGAGGCACGAAAGCGUGGGGAUCAAACAGG